GAAUUUUAUAUAUUUAGAUUAAUAAUUAAUUAAAUUUUUUUUGUUAAUUAAGUAUAUUUAGUUGGGAGAAUUAUUAGAUUAUAAUAAUUUUAAUUUUUUAAAAAUAUUGAUUUAUAAAUAAAAGAAUGAUAUUUUUAUGGUUGAAAAAUUAAUUACCUUAGGGAUAACAGCGUAAUAUUUUUGGAGAGUUCUUAUUGAUAAAAAUGAUUGC
rnacentral:rRNA from 1 species